UAAGUAACGAUAAAGCGGGUGAAAAGCCCGCUCGCCGGAAGACCAAGGGUUCCUGUCCAACGUUAAUCGGGGCAGGGUGAGUCGACCCCUAAGGCGAGGCCGAAAGGCGUAGUCGAUGGGAAACAGGUUAAUAUUCCUGUACUUGGUGUUACUGCGAAGGGGGGACGGAGAAGGCUAUGUUAGCCGGGCGACGGUUGUCCCGGUUUAAGCAUGUAGGCUGGUUAUCCAGGCAAAUCCGGAUAAUCAAGGCUGAGGUGUGAUGACGAGGCACUACGGUGCUGAAGUAACAAAUGCCCUGCUUCCAGGAAAAGCCUCUAAGCAUCAGGUAACAUCAAAUCGUACCCCAAACCGACACAGGUGGUCAGGUAGAGAAUACCAAGGCGCUUGAGAGAACUCGGGUGAAGGAACUAGGCAAAAUGGUGCCGUAACUUCGGGAGAAGGCACGCUGGUGUGUAGGUGAAGCCCCUGCGGGUGGAGCUGAGACCAGUCGAAGAUACCAGCUGGCUGCAACUGUUUAUUAAAAACACAGCACUGUGCAAACACGAAAGUGGACGUAUACGGUGUGACGCCUGCCCGGUGCCGGAAGGUUAAUUGAUGGGGUUAUCCGUAAGGAGAAGCUCUUGAUCGAAGCCCCGGUAAACGGCGGCCGUAACUAUAACGGUCCUAAGGUAGCGAAAUUCCUUGUCGGGUAAGUUCCGACCUGCACGAAUGGCGUAAUGAUGGCCAGGCUGUCUCCACCCGAGACUCAGUGAAAUUGAACUCGCUGUGAAGAUGCAGUGUACCCGCGGCAAGACGGAAAGACCCCGUGAACCUUUACUAUAGCUUGACACUGAACAUUGAGCCUUGAUGUGUAGGAUAGGUGGGAGGCUUUGAAGCGUGGACGCCAGUCUGCGUGGAGCCAACCUUGAAAUACCACCCUUUAAUGUUUGAUGUUCUAACGUUGGCCCCUGACCGGGGUUGCGGACAGUGUCUGGUGGGUAGUUUGACUGGGGCGGUCUCCUCCCAAAGCGUAACGGAGGAGCACGAAGGUUAGCUAAUCCUGGUCGGACAUCAGGAGGUUAGUGCAAUGGCAUAAGCUAGCUUGACUGCGAGCGUGACGGCGCGAGCAGGUGCGAAAGCAGGUCAUAGUGAUCCGGUGGUUCUGAAUGGAAGGGCCAUCGCUCAACGGAUAAAAGGUACUCCGGGGAUAACAGGCUGAUACCGCCCAAGAGUUCAUAUCGACGGCGGUGUUUGGCACCUCGAUGUCGGCUCAUCACAUCCUGGGGCUGAAGUAGGUCCCAAGGGUAUGGCUGUUCGCCAUUUAAAGUGGUACGCGAGCUGGGUUUAGAACGUCGUGAGACAGUUCGGUCCCUAUCUGCCGUGGGCGCUGGAGAAUUGAGGGGGGCUGCUCCUAGUACGAGAGGACCGGAGUGGACGCAUCACUGGUGUUCGGGUUGUCAUGCCAAUGGCACUGCCCGGUAGCUAAAUGCGGAAGAGAUAAGUGCUGAAAGCAUCUAAGCACGAAACUUGCCCCGAGAUGAGUUCUCCCUGAGACUUUAAGUCUCCUGAAGGAACGUUAAAGACGAUGACGUUGAUAGGCCGGGUGUGUAAGCGCAGCGAUGCGUUGAGCUAACCGGUACUAAUGAACCGUGAGGCUUAACCUU
rnacentral:rRNA from 1 species